UGAGGAAUAUUGGUCAAUGGGGGCAACCCUGAACCAGCCAAGUCGCGUGAAGGAUGAAGGUCUUAUGGAUUGUAAACUUCUUUUAUACAGGAAUAAAUUGGGGGACGUGUCCCCUUUUGCAUGUACUGUAUGAAUAAGGAUCGGCUAACUCCGUGCCAGCAGCCGCGGUAAUACGGAGGAUCCGAGCGUUAUCCGGAUUUAUUGGGUUUAAAGGGUGCGCAGGCGGGAUGUUAAGUCGGCGGUGAAAUUUUGCAGCUCAACUGUAAAAGUGCCUUCGAUACUGGCUUCCGUGAGUGUGGAUGAAGUAGGCGGAAUUUGUGGUGUAGCGGUGAAAUGCUUAGAUAUCACGAGGAACUCCGAUUGCGCAGGCAGCUUACUAAGCCACAACUGACGCUCAUGCACGAAGGCGUGGGGAUCAAACA
rnacentral:rRNA from 1 species